CAGCAGCCGCGGUAAUACGUAAGGUGCGAACGUUGUUCGGAAUCACUGGGCAUAAAGAGCACGUAGGCGGCUGGAUAAGUCCGAUGUGAAAUCCCCCGGCUCAACCGAGGAAUUGCAUCGGAUACUGUCUGGCUAGAGUGCAGUAGGGGAGAGCGGAAUUCCAGGUGGAGCGGUGAAAUGCGUAGAUAUCUGGAGGAACACCGGUGGCGAAAGCGGCUCUCUGGACUGUAACUGACGCUGAGGUGCGAAAGCCAGGGGAGCAAACGGGAUUAGAUACCCCGGUAGUCCUGGCCCUAAACGAUGGGCACUAGGUGGAGGAGGUUCCGAUAUCUUCUCUGCUGUAGCAAAUGUGUUAAGUGCCCCGCCUGGGGAGUAUGGUCGCAAGGCUGAAACUCAAAGGAAUUGACGG
rnacentral:rRNA from 1 species